rnacentral:rRNA from 1 species
UACGAAGGGGGCUAGCGUUGUCCGGAAUCAUUGGGCGUAAAGGGCGCGUAGGUGGCGCGGUAAGCGUGCGGUGAAAGCCUGGGGCUCAACCCCGGGUCGGCCGUGCGAACUGCUGGGCUUGAGCACUGUAGAGGCAGGCGGAAUUCCGGGUGUAGCGGUGGAAUGCGUAGAGAUCCGGAAGAACACCGGUGGCGAAGGCGGCCUGCUGGGCAGUUGCUGACACUGAGGCGCGACAGCGUGGGGAGCAAACAGG